rnacentral:rRNA from 1 species
GAGUUUGAUCAUGGCUCAGAGCGAACGCUGGCGGCAGGCUUAACACAUGCAAGUCGAGCGCCUGUAGCAAUACAGGAGCGGCAGACGGGUGAGUAACGCGUGGGAACGUACCUUUUGGUUCGGAACAACACAGGGAAACUUGUGCUAAUACCGGAUAAGCCCUUACGGGGAAAGAUUUAUCGCCGAAAGAUCGGCCCGCGUCUGAUUAGCUUGUUGGUGAGGUAACGGCUCACCAAGGCUACGAUCAGUAGCUGGUCUGAGAGGAUGAUCAGCCACACUGGGACUGAGACACGGCCCAGACUCCUACGGGAGGCAGCAGUGGGGAAUAUUGGACAAUGGGCGCAAGCCUGAUCCAGCCAUGCCGCGUGAGUGAUGAAGGCCCUAGGGUUGUAAAGCUCUUUCGGCGGGAAGAUAAUGACGGUACCCGCAUAAGAAGCCCCGGCUAACUUCGUGCCAGCCGCCGCAGUAAC